rnacentral:lncRNA from 1 species
UGCUGUUCAAUACUGCUGAUAGACUAGGCUACAAGGAAAUUGAGCAAGCAACUGAGAUUCCGGCUUCGGAUCUGAAGAGGUGUCUGCAAUCAUUGGCUUUGGUUAAGGGAAGAAAUGUGCUUAGGAAGGAGCCCAUGAGUAAAGAUGUAGAUGAGGAUGAUGCUUUCUUUGUAAAUGACAAGUUCAGUAGCAAUCUAUACAGGGUAAAAAUAGGAACUGUAGUUGCACAAAAUGAAUCAGAACCUGAGAAACUGGAGACUCGUCGGCAACAAGUGGAGGAGGAGGGCCGAAGGUCCCAGAUUGAGGCUGUCAUAGUGAGGAUAAUGAAAUCAAGAAAGAAACUUGAUCACAGCAAUCUCAUGGCUGAGGUCACAGAGCAGUUCCAUGCAAAUCCCACAGAGGUAAAGAAACGGAUUGAGUCUCUUGUUGACCGGGAUUUUAUGGAACGAGAUGAUAAUGACAGACAGUUAUAUCGAUAUCUUGCCUAGAAAGAAUUGUCAAGUUUGUUUCUUUCAGUGAAAUUAGAAUGAUACAAAAAUUGUGCCUUUUACAGUUUCAUUGAUUCUUAAUGCAUAUAUGUUUGUUCUUCCAGUUAUGCUGUUUAAUCCUAUUAUCUGCAUCACAUAACAUACUAUGUCUUUGCUUCCACUAAUGUAGGAGUUUAAUCCAUUCCGGACAGGCUGGAAGGUUUCAACUUAAAGUCUAAAAUCUCAUUGUAUUAAAAUAAGGCAUGCCAUGAUCAAACAAUAAAGGAAAUUGAAAUUGAAAUUUAAAAAAUGAAGGAAAUUAAGAUCUUUCAAAUUGAAAAAACAUUUUCUGAUUGUUAUGAGUUAGUAAUAUAUUUUAAAACAACAUUGAUUAAUAUGAGAAAGAGGAACCAAAAAGUUGAUUAGAUGAAGAAAAAGAAAAGAAAUAUAUAACAAUAGAAAAUAUUAGAGAUAUACCAUGAUGGGUGGAAUUAGUUACAAUGAUUUUACAACAUAACUUGUCAAGGCAAAAGUCUAAGAGGAAUACUCCUGACUUUUCACAAUGGAUGGUAUGAAAUUGCAAUGGUUCCAG